GGCUGCACCACGGCGCCGGGGGGCGCCACACAGGUGAUGAGCCCCUCCUCCCGUGGCUACUCGCCCUCUUCUCCGCUCACAGGUCUCUGUUGGGUGUCUUUCCUUAUCUCCUCCAUCCCUUUCUCUGAGCUGCUUUCUCCAUCUCCUUGUCUCAUUUUCUCUCUGGAAUUCUCCAAGCUCUUAGUUCAGUGUUUUUCCCGGAUUCCUCUUGGACCCUCCCUUCUGGCUUCCUCAGAGCCCCUUCGAAAACUUUUUCCUUCCCUGCCCCUACUUUUCUCUACCUCUUUCCUCUUGUCUUUUGUUCUCAUUCGUUCCCCUCCGAGCUGCACGACUUCUCUCUCUCCUCACACUUCUCUGCUGGUCUUGGCCUCUCUCCUUGCCUAAGCCCUGAAAUGCUUUUUCUGCACCUCCAACUCUUCCCGGGGUUGCCUUUGCCAGUUGCAGCUGCUGCUCGGCCAGAGGUAAUUAAUGGUUCCUUCCUUGGGCUUGCAAGGUGCCUUAAAGAAAGGCCUUCCUCCCUCAAACUUCCCCCAAACCACGGUAACAGCUACUGAGUCAUGAUAGCAAUCCCUGGAGGUGGGGGUGGGGGGCAGUAGUGAAUAUAGUCCAAGAAAUUCUGGUCCCUCUUGAAUCUGAAUCGUAAUUGACAGUAUAUUACCAAGGCAAGGACAUUUGUUUGUGAUGGAGAGAGAGAGAGAGAGCUUGAACUCACAGAGACUUUCUGGAGAAAGACUGAAGGAAUUCCCACCUGAAGCCUGCUUCAGGCUGACUAUUGCAGGACUUGACUUUAAGAGUAUUUACCCUCGUCCAGCCUGUCUUUGCUCACCUGUAAAACAGGUUAUAGCCAUCUCACUGGAAAGAACAAUGAACAGAAAGCAUUGGAGUGCACAGGAAGUACUCAGCACUGGCUUUCUUCACCUCUUCCAUCGUCCGCUACCUCUAUAAAGUGUGCUGGGAAGGAUAGGUGACAGUGUUGAUCUCAUACUAACGUGAAAGGAAGAAAACACGUGACACCAAAAGAAAGGAUCUACCUCGUGUAUUCCACCAAAGGCUGAGAUACCACUGACAAGAGACCUACAUCAUUUAUAGUGAUGGAGACAGAAAUCAAAACAACCUAAAAGGACCUUGGGCACCUCUGCCUUCACCACACCCUUGCUCAGAAAUCCUUGGCAAGAUUCUAUUACUGUCCUCCCACUGCCUUGAGGGCAAGAUUCUCACUGCUUGCUGUUCCUUUUGGAGUGAGUCAAAGGUAUCCCUGUCAUUUACUGUUCACACUGAUUCUAGUACCUUCUCUGAACACAACACUGGCAUUCUAAGCAGGUGUCCUACAAUAUACAAGUCCUAUAUGUGGGACUAGAAAGAUGGCUCAGUGGAUAAA